AACGCACAUUGCGCCCCUUGGUAUUCCGGGGGGCAUGCCUGUCCGAGCGUCAUUUCAACCCUCAAGCUCCGCUUGGUCUUGAGCCCCGCGCCAGCGAUGGCGGGCUCUAAAAUCAGCGGCGGCGCCGCCUGGGUCCUGAGCGUGGUAACAUCCUCUCUCGCUACAGGGCCUCGGGCGCGCGCCUGCCCCACCCCCCACCAUUCUUCCAUGGUUGACCUCGGAUCAGGUAGGGAUACCCGCUGAACUUAA
rnacentral:misc_RNA from 1 species